rnacentral:rRNA from 1 species
CCUACGGGAGUCAGCAGUAGGGAAUCUUCCACAAUGGGCGCAAGCCUGAUGGAGCAACACCGCGUGAGUGCAGAAGGGUUUCGGCUCGUAAAGCUCUGUUGUUGGAGAAGAACGUGCGUGAGAGUAACUGUUCACGCAGUGACGGUAUCCAACCAGCAAGUCACGGCUAACUACGUGCCAGCCACCUCGGUAAUACUUCAGUGGCAAGCGUUAUCCGGAUUUUUUGGGCGUGACGCGAGCGAAGGCGGUUUCUUAGGUCUGAUGUGAAAGCCUUCGGCUUAACCGAAGAAGUGCAGCUGAAACCGGGCAACUUGAGUGCAGAAGAGGACAGUGGAACUCCAUGUGUAGCGGUGGAAUGCGUAGAUAUAUGGAAGAACACCAGUGGCGAAGGCGGCUGUCUGGUCUGCAACUGACGCUGAGGCUCGAAAGCAUGGGUAGCGAACAGGAUUAGAUACCCCUGUAGUC